CGUCGCUCCCUGGCUUUCGCGCCUCAGCGUCAGUAGUCAGCCCUGCAACCCGCCUUCGCCGCAGGUGUUCCUCUCGAUAUCUACGCAUUUCACCGCUACACCGAGAAUUCCAGUUGCCCCUUCUGCACUCUAGUCGCACAGUAUCAGUUGACCGUUCCGAGUUAAGCCCGGAGAUUUCACAACUGACUUGUGCUGACCGCCUACGCGCCCUUUACGCCCAGUAAAUCCGU
rnacentral:rRNA from 1 species